rnacentral:lncRNA from 1 species
GCCUUGUCCCCUCAGUAAUUGUCUAUUGACUUUGAAAAUUUAUUGGCAUUUGCAAGUCAUAUUUCUAUGGAGGUUAUAAAGCCCACCCCUCAUCAUGGUUCAUUGACAUUGAAACUUUUACAUAGUUUACAAGUUUAUGUUUGUUUAAAGGGAACGACUUAUGAUAAGUCCAUGGUAUUUUGUAUGUAGUUGUAUAUUGGCACAUUUCCAUGGAUAUUGUUCAGCCAUGUACUUUUUCAGUCGUGGUUCAUCAACUUUGAAUAUUUCCAUAACUUACAUGUUAAAGUAUUGCUAUUUUGGUUUCAACAUUUGCAUUUUCAAAAUUACAAAAAGGCGUUACAUCACCAUUUCUGUGAAAACAGUUUAUUUUUUAAUAUUUUAACGAAGUUAUAUAUAUAUAUAAUUACUUUCGUAUACAAAGAGAAAAAUUCAAGAGAGAUACAUUACUCCAACCCGACCCCCAAUUUUCAAAAGCUUACAACUUGACAAUGAAUACAUGAUUCUAUCAAUAUUAAUGUCUCUUUAAGAUAUAAUGUAAAAUAACUUAUCAAAUUGAUAAAAAUGGCCAAGGCCCAGCUUGAAUUACUGCAAAUGUAAAACCCUGGAUAGUUCGAGCAAGUAUGGCCCCUUAAAUACGUUUGACAUAUCUACAUUUGGAUUGUGAUUAACAUUUUGAUAAUAGGCAUCUUGUUAAAGACAUCAAGAAAUUCAGUGGGCCAUUCUUAUACCCUCUUUAUAGAAAAAAAUUUAACAUUGACCAAAGAAUUAUGAAUCAUGAAAAUGUGCCACAUAUAGUUGACCUACUGCGUUAUUACAUCUGAGAAACGUACAUAAUAAAUUAAUUUUAACAUUGAUCACUCAUAAAAAGGGAGAAAUUCACAGGACAAAAAAAACUAUAAUUUUGUUCAACCAGUCGCUGUACCAUUUAUAAUAGGUCAAGACCAAAGAACAUAUGACAGACGGAAACUUCGAAACAUAAGGCUAUUACAAACAAAGUAUGAAGCAUCCAGAUAUUCUAUCUUAAUACCGAAUAUAAAGCUCUAUAGAAAUAGUUUUCGCCAUCGCUGGACAGUAAUACCUUUGUCUCACUCUAUGACAUUUUACAUUCACUGUUUAUAGAUUAUUCCCACACCGACAAAGUGCGUUCGGCUCUUACUAAUGUUUUUACUAAUAAAACAUAAAACCUGUAUAAAAAAAAGUCUGAAAACACGAAUACCCCCGCUUAAAAUUUUCAAUUUUCCAUGUUAUAAAGGGGCAUAAUUGUCCAAAAAAAUUACUGCCCAAAUUCUAACUCGGCCUAACUUUGUGUGAUUAUUAACAUUGUGUGUGGAUUUCAAUAAUUUUGGAUAAGGCAAAUUAACGACAGAGUGCGGAAACCAAACUAAAUGCAUUAAUAUAACUUGUGAUCCGUUAUCACUGAAUUGUUGGGACAAACACCACUGAAUUCAACACGCCAUUAGUGAUAAUAAUCCUUGUGUUAAAAUGUAAUACAAACGACUCAUACAAAAUACAAAGUUAUGGCAUUAAAGCAAGUGACUAUAGAUGAAGACAACAGCGCCAUACCAUAAUACAUACCAAAAUAGUAUUGCAUUCAUGUGAAAA